GGUGUUUGACAGUGUUCCAAGGCUGUUGGGCCAUGUGGCCCCAGACAGCCCUGCUCCCCAGACUUUCCAGGCUUGUAUUUUAUCAGAACAGAAGAGGGGUGGUGCUUCAGGAAGGAGCAGCGGCCCUGCUUGAGUAGAGCAACCCCAGACCUGGAUCAACUGUGACGUGGAACUGCCACUCAGCAGGUCUUCAGUUAAAUUCCAUAGAAAUACAUAGUUGAGCGAAGUAAGAAAACAAACUCCGUAUAGUGGAAAGUAGAAAAGCUUCUCCUAGCAAUCAAGCCCUUGAUUUAUUUCCCCUACAACAAAGUUUUGUUUUUAUUACACCCAGGGGUUUCCCUGUCUUUUUGAACAAUAGAAAAACUAAAAAUUGUGACCCCCUAAAUAAGCACCACUUGGGGCCCUGAAUGAUACUGAGCAAAUGCUAGGCGGCGUUGUCCUUCUGCUGUAAGCGAAGCAAUUCCUUAGGUAGGAAAUCAGAGCUGCUCUUUCCUGUCAGUGACUUUGCUUCCCGGUAACCUUGUGCUGUCGGAGCAGAACUUCGGCUCCACUUCUGGAGCUUGGGAUUGUGUUCUCCUGCAUCAGCUGGUUCAGGGCCUGCCAGUCCCCGGGGAGCUUGGGUGUCCGCACCCAGCACACAACUGAGCUCUUUGGGGCUGCUGCAGCCCCACCUGCACAAAUCCGGGCUCCUAUGAAGGACCGUCUCACCUCCUCUCUGCUCCCUCUACGGGAAUCCUGCUCCUGCCCCAGGACAGUCUCGGGGUUCCAGACAGAUCCCUCACAUUCGUCUACAUCUUCUGCUUCUUUCAUCCUGUGCACCUGCUCUGCCCACGUUCACCAUCCUCCUGGAGUCGCCUGUCUCGUCUUGGCCACUGCUUCAGCCCCUCCACCUGCCCUGCCAGGCCCGGGGCUGGGCCCUGGGCCUCGGGGACCACUGUGCAGCCUGGCUUCUCCUGCUCCAGCCCCAGCGCCUGGAGCCCAAGCGCCACAUCGGGGGAGCAGCCCCCUGCACCUGAGCAUUGGCGGGGACCAGGCUGCGCUCCCUCCCACUUAAGCCAAAGGCACGUGGGCCAAGGACCGGGGCCAGCCAUGACCAUCUCCCGGUCCCAUGGGUCCCUCCUCUCAUCCCGUUGCGCCCUUGCGUCUACUGUGGGCACCUGCCUGAGCGCUCCCUGGAACCCUAAGUCUCUCUGUAACCCAGAAGCUUGGGGACCCCUGUCUGCUGCUCCAGCCUCGGGGCGCUACCCCGAAGUGUCUCCUCACUUCCUGAUGCGGCCGAGGCUCCCAUCCUGUCGGUGGGCAGAGGUCUUGGAAUCGGAC
rnacentral:lncRNA from 1 species